GAUGAAGAACGCAGCGAAAUGCGAUACGUAAUGUGAAUUGCAGAAUUCAGUGAAUCAUCGAAUCUUUGAACGCAUAUUGCGCUCUUUGGUAUUCCGAAGAGCAUGCUUGUUUGAGUAUCAGUAAACACCUCAACCUCUUCUUGAUUUUUCAAAAGGAGGGUGGACUUGAGCUAUCCCAACAACCUUUACCGGUCGGCGGGCGGCUUGAAAUGCAGGUGCAGCUGGACUUUUAUCUGAGCUAAAAGCAUAUCUAUUUAGUCCUCGUCAAACAGGAUUAUUACUUUUGCUGCAGCUAACAUAAAGGAUAAUUGUCCUCUUUGCUGACUGAUGCAGGAUUUUACGACACUUUAUGUGUUGUUCAACUCGAUCUCAAAUCAAGUAAGACUACCUGCUGAACUUAAGCAUAUCAAUAAGCGGAGGA
rnacentral:misc_RNA from 1 species